rnacentral:rRNA from 1 species
AACAGGAUUAGAUACCCUGGUAGUCCACGCCGUAAACGAUGUCGACUUGGAGGUUGUGCCCCUGAGGCGUGGCUUCCGGAGCUAACGCGUUAAGUCGACCGCCUGGGGAGUACGGCCGCAAGGUUAAAACUCAAAUGAAUUGACGGGGGCCCGCACAAGCGGUGGAGCAUGUGGUUUAAUUCGAUGCAACGCGAAGAACCUUACCUACUCUUGACAUCCAGAGAACUUAGCAGAGAUGCUUUGGUGCCUUCGGGAACUCUGAGACAGGUGCUGCAUGGCUGUCGUCAGCUCGUGUUGUGAAAUGUUGGGUUAAGUCCCGCAACGAGCGCAACCCUUAUCCUUUGUUGCCAGCGGUUCGGCCGGGAACUCAAAGGAGACUGCCAGUGAUAAACUGGAGGAAGGUGGGGAUGACGUCAAGUCAUCAUGGCCCUUACGAGUAGGGCUACACACGUGCUACAAUGGCAUAUACAAAGAGAAGCGACCUCGCGAGAGCAAGCGGACCUCAUAAAGUAUGUCGUAGUCCGGAUUGGAGUCUGCAACCCGACUCCAUGAAGUCGGAAUCGCUAGUAAUCGUGGAUCAGAAUGCCACGGUGAAUACGUUCCCGGGCCUUGUACACACCGCCCGUCACACCAUGGGAGUGGGUUGCAAAAGAAGUAGGUAGCUUAACCUUCGGGAGGGCGCUUACCACUUUGUGAUUCAUGACUGGGGUGAAGUCGUAACAAGGUAACC